AUGUGGCUGAUUUGGCAGACCUGCAUAAACACAUGGAAAAACAGCAGCAACUUUUCUUCCAGCUCUACAGCACGAGGACAUCCACUGUGUCUCCUGGAGUUGCAGACUACUCCUUGCCACUGCUGGUGGGGCCAGCCCCUGAGAUCUGGGCUUUGCUCUCACACACGCUUUCACUAUCAUCUGAGACAUAUUGUGCAGGCAAAACCAGACUGCCCCAGAGUGCAGAGGAUCACCCGGAGCGGAGGCAACCAGGAUACGUGCCUUGGUCUGGAAGGUGUGGGGGUGUUCCUGUGCUCCCAGCAAAGACAGGGGCAGGAGAGCCUGCAAUCUCUGUGUGACUCUCUCCCUCAGCAGCAGGAUGAAGAUGAAGAUUUCCUUUUGCUGUCAUGUCAGACAAGAGAAGCAAGCAUCAGACUUCUGAAAAAAGGCACAAAAAGAAGAAAAAGAAAGCAUGAAACAUUCUGUCUUUAUUUUGUGGAUAGGGAUUGUAAAUGUCCCUCAGCAAAUGAAUUCACAUCUUUGCCUUUAGUUCCCAGGGAAGAUGGCUGA
rnacentral:lncRNA from 1 species